rnacentral:other from 2 species
UGCUCCCUGGAGUGCCAGUCGGCAAAGACCUCGAGCCGAUGCGUAUUACCCAGGCAGGUUUCACUCGCUGUUGUGAGCAUGUCCGCACGUACGGAAAGCCUGAUUCAGUGAUCAGACCCGCCACCUUGAACCAGAGGGUUCAAGGGCUUUGACCGACAAUUGGCACUGCAGUGGGCUU